CGGUGGCUCUUCUGUCUCUCAGGGGUUGUAGCUCAGUCUUAAAGCUAGAGUGAAGAUACAGGUAUUUUAUGAAACUACAAAGCCUAAGGAACCGAUUGGUACCAACCAUGUCAUGUUAGCUUGUUGGGAAGAAUGCUAAAUAACGCUCC